rnacentral:rRNA from 1 species
AUGGAGGAAGCGUACAUCUGGCUUCCUCCCAUACCACGCCUCGUAAGGCGUCUUUCCGUCGACGCUCCUUGUGAAGGAGCGGUUGAGGAUGAAGACGGCCGUGAGCACGGCCUCCCCCCAAUACGUGCUUGGCACCUACUUUGCCUUGAGCAUGCAGCGUGCCAUCCCAAGCACUGUCUGGUUCCUCCGCUCGACGACGUCGUUCUGCUGCGGCGAGUAAGGGGCUGUGAGGUGACGUUGCACCCCUUUCUCGUCGCAGUGCUUGUAGAACGUGGCCGACGUGAACUCGCCGCCACGGUCCAUGCGCAGCACGCGCAGCUUGUGGCCACACUCGGCCUCUGCUGCCGCUUGCUGCUUGAUGAUGGCUCGCUCCGCCUCAUCCUUGGAGGCAAGGACCAGCACCCACAUGAACCUGCUGUAGUCAUCGACGAGCAGCAGGAUGUAGCGACGCCCUCCUGGCGUUGCCGAGGUGAUUGGGCCGCAGAGGUCCCCAUGAACCAGCUCCAGGGGUUUCUGCGCCCGAUAGCGUGCCUUCUCGGGAAAGGGCAGGCGCCGCUGCUUCCCGGCAAGAAACGCAUCGCACAACUCGUCGGCGUGCUUGGUGUGAGGUAG